rnacentral:rRNA from 1 species
GAUCAUGGCUCAGGAUGAACGCUAGCUACAGGCUUAACACAUGCAAGUCGAGGGGAAACGACAUCGAAAGCUUGCUUUUGAUGGGCGUCGACCGGCGCACGGGUGAGUAACACGUGAGUAACCUGCCCUUGACUUUGGGAUAACUUCAGGAAACUGGGGCUAAUACCGGAUAGGAGCUCCUGCUGCAUGGUGGGGGUUGGAAAGUUUCGGCGGUUGGGGAUGGACUCGCGGCUUAUCAGCUUGUUGGUGGGG